CCCUUAGAUGUCCGGGACCGCACGCGCGCUACACUGAAGGAAUCAGCGUGGCUUUCUCCCUGACCCGAAAGGGUUGGGAAACCCGUUGAAUCUCCUUCGUGAUAGGGACUGGGGCUUGAAAUUGUUCCCCAUGAACGAGGAAUUCCCAGUAAGCGCGAGUCAUAAGCUCGCGUUGAUUACGUCCCUGCCCUUUGUACACACCGCCCGUCGCUACUACCGAUUGAACGGUUUAGUGAGGGCCUCGGAUUGGUCUCGGCCCGCUCUUUACCGGGCGGCGCCGUUGGUCGAGAAGACGCUCGAACUUGAUCGUUUAGAGGAAGUAAAAGUCGUAACA
rnacentral:rRNA from 1 species